rnacentral:lncRNA from 1 species
AAAGGGAAGGGGAAGGGAGAGCAGGAGAGAACUUGAAUCAACUCUGCUACAGAAUUACCGAUUUCUUCCUGGGCAACUACAUUCUGAUUAAACCAACUGCUGGGUACUAAGACCAAAAAACAAUGUGGUCUCACCCUGGGGGAGCAGCCUCUGUUCUCAUUUUCUUAAAUCACAAAGACAAUGGUAGAAGAACAAGAGGUAAAGUACUUAGAAAAUAGAAGUUGAGAUUUCUAACUACUACGUUUCUCUCCAGGGGGUGAGGGAUGAGGAAGGAGCAGACUGUGAUGACUAUCACCAUUUGAGUUUUAUUCUGCUAUAUGCCACUUUUCUAUCAAGUAACCCGAGGAAACACCUUAUAGGAAUAGCUCUCAAGACGUGGUUCCUGGGCCAGCAGCACCUGGCAGCUCGUUAGAGAUGGUCAAUGCUGGAGCAUGGGGAAGGCAAAUUGGAUUGAACCUCUUCACAGGACCUGCUUCCUGAGGUCUUCUCGCCAGCAGCCUGCAGUGUGGGCUUUCUGAGAACAGGGGGCAUGAGGAAACGCCACAGCCCUGGAGACGUUCUCUGCCUGCAGGUGCUGACAAUACACAGACACACACACCUGUGUCUAAGUGGGCCCAUAUUCACCUCUGGGAACAGGCCCUGCUGAGGAGGGGAGAUCCUCCAGCACAGCGAGGCAAGCCUGCUCACUCGGUCCUGCUUCCCACAGUCCAGCAAGCCCUGCUGGUUGCUUGUCAUUCCCUUCCUCUCUCGUGUCACCAUCCAGCAGCAUUCUGGGAGAUGAUGACCCUUCUUUUC